rnacentral:rRNA from 1 species
AGGCUGAAACUCGCCUACAUGAAGCUGGAGUUACUAGUAAUCGCAGAUCAGAAUGCUGCGGUGAAUGCGUUCCCGGGUCUUGUACACACCGCCCGUCACACCACGGAAGUUGGGGGCGCCCGAAGCCACUUAGCUAACCCAUUUGGGAAGCGAGUGUCGAAGGUGAAAUCAAUAACUGGGGUGAAGUCGUAACAAGGUAGC